GAAACAAUGCUACUUCUUUUGGUCUGCUUGUUUUAUGGUUUAGAAUGAGACUCAGUUUCUUUUACUUCUUGCAUAUCGUAGAUUAUUACUGAGAUGAUACUUUGUCAAGGUAAAAAAAGUAUUUAUCGCUGCUGUUUCUAUUUCUCAACAUGCUUUCCUUGUUUUGUGCAAUUGUUUCAAACAUUUACUUUGGUGAUCAUUUAUUUUUGACAUUUUUGUUGAUCGAGUUUUGAAAGUAGCAUCUAAUGCAGAUAGUGGUAAUCAUUGGGAAUCAGACUUUGUGAUGCUACGCCUGAUUUUCCAUUUUGAAUUUCUUGGUGGUUAAAUUUCUUUUGAUUAUUAGUGCUGCAUUAUAUUCUUACGGCAGCAGUGGCGGAAAAUUUUUU
rnacentral:misc_RNA from 1 species